rnacentral:misc_RNA from 1 species
GGUUGAGUAUGAGGUAGAGGCUUGCAGCACAACUGGUGUGACGGGUAAUGGGUGCAUUGACAUCAAAAGGACAAGCCUAACCAUGCCAACAGGUGGUUAUAUGGCGUUGCCCACCAGCAUACUGCGGGUGUUGGUUCGACUCUGUAUGGAGAGGAUGGACGUGUUAUAUGCACCUCGGUACCAACUUAUGGGGAAGGAAUGGAGGCAGGAAACGAGGCUGGUUAUAUUGUAGGAAUGUCCACCUGUUAUCCUAAACCAGGUUCUAUAGAGAUAGCAGACGGGGAGAGGCUAAUUCUGGAAUCUAAGUACAGCAAUGCUCAAAAGCACACAGGAGUUAUGGGGCUUUUCUACAUUUUCGUUGCAGACCGGACACCAAAGCACACAACUUUCUUAGAUUCUCUUGUUCAUGUACAUGAAAGCGUGGAACCAUCCACACAUGCUUGGGCUGUAGUAGUUCUGUUGGGAUUUGCAAUAACCGUUGGUGUAGCUGCUGCUGUUCAUUCUUGGUUAAAGAAGGGAAACGAUGAUGGCUACCAACCAAUUCGGGUGUAGAGUUGUGCAGUGCAUCCUGAAUAAAGGCUUGGCUUUGAAAUUGACAUAAAUAAUUUUCUGAGACUGAACUUCUCAUUCUCUUUGCGAAAGCAGAGAACCUAGUUUUGCAGGAACAGAAUCUAAUACAUAGUUUUAGUUUUAUCAACUCCUCUAUUGGCCAAGAAAUAUUACAUUCAAUAUGAUUGAUUCCGCUUGCUUUGAGUUGUUCAUAUCUAUCCAUACUGCUUUCGUAAAGAGAAUGAG